UAAUCUAAAUAACAGCGUUCUCGAUCAAGUGCAGCUUUAAAACAUGUUACUGGGUUCAGCUCGUAGGCCCACUCUUCAAUUGACCCAUAGAACCCUUUGCCCUUUGCCCUUGUGGAGAUCUGAGAAGAUUGGACGGGUCUAAUCAACUAACUAUUACCAUAUUGCUUACAUCUGUCAAAUCAUCUCAGAUCUCCACAAGGAAUAGGUUCUAGGAGUCGAUCAUAGGUCGUAGGGUCUAGGGGGUCGAUCAUAGGCCGUAGGGUCUAGGGGUCGAUCAUAGGCCGUAGGGUCUAGGGGUCGAUCAUAGGCCGUAGGGUCUAGGGGUCGAUCAUAGGCCGUAGGGUCUAGGGGUCAAUCAUAGGCCGUAGGGUCUAGGGGUCGAUCAUAGGCCGUAGGGUCUAGGGGUCGAUCACAGGCCGUAGGGUCUAGGGGUCGAUCAUAGGUCGUAGGGUCUAGGGGUCGAUCAUAGGCCGUAGGGUCUAGGGGUCGAUCAUAGGCCGUAGGGUCUAGGGGUCAAUCAUAGGCCGUAGGGUCUAGGGGUCGAUCAUAGGCCGUAGGGUCUAGGGGUCGAUCAUAGGCCGUAGGGUCUAGGGGUCGAUCAUAGGCCGUAGGGUCUAGGGGUCGAUCAUAGGCCGUAGGGUCUAGGGGUCGAUCACAGGCCGUAGGGUCUAGGGGUCGAUCAUAGGCCGUAGGGUCUAGGGGUCGAUCAUAGGCCGUAGGGUCUAGGGGUCGAUCAUAGGCCGUAGGGUCUAGGGGUCGAUCAUAGGCCGUAGGGUCUAGGGGUCGAUCAUAGGCCGUAGGGUCUAGGGGUCGAUCAUAGGCCGUAGGGUCUAGGGGUCGAUCAUAGGCCGUAGGGUCUAGGGGUCGAUCACAGCCGGUAAGGUCUAGGGGUCGAUCAUAGGCCGUAGGGUCUAGGGGUCGAUCACAGGCCGUAGGGUCUAGGGGGUCGAUCAUAGGCCUUAGGGUCUAGGGGUCGAUCAUAGGCCGUAGGGUCUAGGGGUCGAUCAUAGGCCGCAGGGUCUAGGGGUCGAUCACAGGCCGUAGGGUCUAGGGGUCGAUCAUAGGCCGUAGGGUCUAGGGGUCAUAGUUUGAUGCAUCUGUAGUAAACUCAGUGUAAGACUUUAGGACAAAAGUAAUAACAUUAAUAAUAAUAAUAAUACAUUGUGUUGAAUGGAAACGUUUCCCCUAUGAUACAGACAAGAUAGGAAACAAGUCAAUACGGACAGCAUCAUAUGAUCAUUCAUAACCAUUCAUAAGGUUGACAUAGGAGCUGACAUAAGAUGUAAUGCCUAGCAGUGACAUGUCAUUAUAAAAGGCAUUGUGAUGUUUAGUAAAGGUCUCUCCUCGGACUCUAAUACACAGGGGGUCGUUUAAUUAAUUUCAUAAUAAUGUUUUUUUUUUGCACUUAUAAAAAAAUGACUUUAACCUGUUAUAAUGCUAGGGCCUGGGGUGAGGGGUCAAGGGUUAGGGGUCAAGGGUUAGGGGGUUAGGGGUCAAUGGUUAGGGGUCAAGGGUUAGGGGUCAAGGGUUAGGGGCCUGGGGUUAGGGAUCAAGGGU